AACGAACGCUGGCGGCAUGCCUAACACAUGCAAGUCGAACGAGACCUUCGGGUCUAGUGGCGCACGGGUGCGUAACGCGUUGGAACCUGCCCUUAGGUUCGGAAUAACUCCCCGAAAGGGGUGCUAAUACCGGAUAAUGUCUUCGGACCAAAGAUUUAUCGCCUUUGGAUGGGCCCGCGUUGGAUUAGCUAGUUGGUAGGGUAAAAGCCUACCAAGGCGACGAUCCAUAGCUGGUCUGAGAGGAUGAUCAGCCACACUGGGACUGAGACACGACCCAGACUCCUACGGGAGGCAGCAGUGGUGAGUAUUGGACAAUGGGCGAAAGCCUGAUCCAGCAAUGCCGCGUGAGUGAUCAAGGCCUUAGGGUUGUAAAGCUCUUUUACCCGGGAUGAUAAUGACAUUACCGGGAGAAUAAGCUCCGGCUAACUCCGUG
rnacentral:rRNA from 1 species